GACCGAUCUGGCGAAUGCUGUCCAUGAGCUCCUUCACUUUGUUCUGAUCGUUGGAUCUUGUUCGCAUCAACGGUCUCCGUAUCUUCUCCAGCGGCAAUUCCAAGAUCAUCGGCCCUACACCGCCGCUAGAUCCUCCGAUCACCGGCGGCGAACCUGAAAAUCAAAAUCAGCUUCAGAUUCAGCUUAAUUGUAAAGGAUUAGAGCUUUUGAGCAAAGUUACCGUUCGAUGAAGAAGCGGAAACGGAGAAGCUCCUCAAGCUACUUGGAAACCUCAGCAUCAUCAAAUUCGCCAUUGUUGUCGCCGUCUUCUCUCUCUCUCUGUGAUAAAAUAUCUUUAAAUAAUUUUGUGAACGAAAUAAAAAGACUCAUUACGACGUCGUUUUACUUGAAAGUGUCGAAAGGAAAAGAUUGAAACGGUUCUUGACGUAGAUCUUCUUCAGUGGGUGUCACGUCCUCCUCGAUGCUGCUUCGGAACUUCUCUACUCACAAUGAAGAUGCGGCUGAGAAAGCUGCUGCUGUUGCUGACACCGACAAUAUUCGACAAGAUCAUAGGAAAAAGAGAUUCCAUUAGACAUAGUCUAUGAGGAUCGUUUUGGCAUUCAGAGACAUAAAACCCACAGGCUCUUGUUCAUGUUUUGGUCAUCCCCAAGUUUAGAGAUGGCUUGACCUCGCUUGGGAAGAUAAUUAGAGGAAAAAAGUCAUGUGAAAAUGAAGAUUUAUGGUGGAACAGAUUAAGUAUCUUACUCCUGAGCAUUGUCUUCCUUCAAAACACUUUUGCAGGCUGAACCAAAACACGUAGAGGUUCUUGGCCAGCUUCUAUACGUAUCAAAGAUUGUUUGCUGAGAAAGAAGGUAGCCUCCGUGUGGUCAUAAAAAAUGGCGCUGAAGGCUGCAAGUCUUUUCUUUUCUGUCCAACCUAACAUUAUUAUAAUCAUCAUACACUUAACUGGCUUAAAAUUCAUCUUAUCGAGGCCAGUCUGUUUACCAUCUUCAUUUGCACGUCCUCUGUUGCCAACAGAUGAAGUAGUCACCCGGUUAAGGGGAACCAUUGUUAAGAUUCAAAUAGUAAUACUCUCUGCAAAUCUCAA